AAAAAGAAAACUUACUAUAAGAGAGAUAACCAGCAUAGCCAGUAGUUCCAGUAACACCUGCAAUGAGUCCGUACUUGACAAAGCUCCAAAUUUUCCCUCCCGAAACCUGUGGGGCAACUUUCGGCGCCGGAGGAGGAGGUGUCGACUGAUCGGAGAGAAUGGAUUGUGAAGAAGGUAUUGUUCCUUUAGAAGGAUCCGAAGAAGAAGAAACCACUCCUGAACAUAAACCCCUUUGAGAAAUACUCUUUGAACUGAAAUUAUUUGAAAUUGUUCGCGAUCUAAGAACAAUGGAAGACAUUUUUAUUAGAGUUUUUGAUUUGGCUUUUUUUUUUUUUUUUUUGAUUGAUGGAGAUUUUAAACUAAUUAGGGUUUAGGGUUUUAGAAAUCGAAAGUGGGCGAUGAAAUCAAAAUGUUGAAUUUAAGAGGAGUGUUUGGAAGUUGGAGUUGAACUAUUCUACCUAGAGUCUAGAAUGGAGAUUGUGGAAUUCGUUGCUUGGUAUUUGACUUUGUUUUUCUUUUGGGUAAACUACAGAUUUAGUCACUUACAUAUAGUUAAAUUAUAGUUUAGUCACUAACUUUUAAAAGGUUUGAUAUGGUCACUAUAGUUAUCGAUCUGUUAUAUUUUGAUCACUAAGCCAUUAACAGUGUAGUAAUAAGUUGACUUGGUACGUUAUAUCAUCAUUUCAAACAAAAAUUUUAAGUCAAAUUGCACAUAAGUAAUCCCUAUAUAUUUUAUAACAUUUUAAUUUUUUUUCUUCUUUCUUUUAUUUCUUUAUUUCUUUUGUUACCUUGUUCUUCACUUCCAAAAUUAUCAAAGGAAACAUCAUAAAAGUAUGUUUUUGUGAACUUCUCAACUUUCUUUUACUAAAUUAUUACAAUACCUUAGUGUCUUAUAUUUAUGCCAUGUCUGAAGCUGCUUUUGGGAUCAUGAUAUCUUCGUUGUCCUAGCAAAGAAGAUACCGGAGGAAAGGAUACUCACUUCAUAUGUGCAUAUGAACAAGCAAUAGGUGUAGUAAAUAGAGUUGGUAGCUAGUUACUAUUAUUAGAAACUCAUGUCGAACGUUACAUUUGAUAUUCUAGAGGAGCUGAUCGACCCAACCACACUCACAUAAAAAGAAACAAAUAUAAUCAACAAUACCAACAGUACAAGCAUGGUGUUAUUGCAAGCAUAACGGUGUCAGACUAUAAUAUAGUAGUUUACAAUGAAACAUUUUAACAAGUAUUCCAAGGACCGUUCUUUCCAUAAGGAUUCAUAAGGGAAAGCAUUAAUCGAUUACCUCAUGUAUAAGGUAAUUUACUAAUCUAAUUUACUCAAGUAUUAUUAGUGCAAGUCGAAUGAAAAUCAUAAAGAAAGUAUACUAGCUUAGCAAUCAAACAAAUUAACCUAAUUUCCCUUUUUCUUGUCUUAGACUAUGCAAAUAAUCAAGGUGAUGGUCGAUUAGUCAACUAACUACUUAUGAAGCUAAUAUGCAUAUCCUGGUUACAUUUAUUGUCACUCUUAAGUAGGAAUUUUCUCUCUGUCUCACCCUAACAUAAGAAUUACCUCCUAGGAUCUUCUCUCAGUCUCGCCUAGGUAACAGAUCACCUUUCGGUCUCAUCAUUUGGCGCAAUUGUGUCAAAAUUCUACAUGAUAUAAUCUCCUCUUGAUCUCAUCUAUCUAGAUCCUCCACUAGAGAAGUUAAUUGUAAUGUACUAAGCAAUUUGAUACAAUUGAACAAGCAAAUAAUCGAGAUCAUGCAUAUCAACUUAGAUUAACAAUUAGUAUCACAAUCAACCAUCAAGAAGGUUUAGAACAACAUAAAUUUCAAAAUGCAAGCAACCAUUCUAACAUUCAAUCGAUAAAAGAUGAAUAAGAACAAAAGAUAGAAAUGCUCAUUCAUGGAGAAUAAUCCAAUUCAAAGCUAAAACUUUCUUGAUCUCUAUUUACAUAGCCUUCAACAAGAAAAAAUGAAAAAGCUACAGCAAAACUAUCUCUCUCUACUCUAUUCUCACAUAAUUUUAAUGUAACAUAAAAUGUGUAUUGCAUGACAUCUAAAAAUAUGAUAGAGAAAUGGUUUAUAUAGCAAUGAACCAAAAGAUCUUUGUACCCUUACUAAAAUCCACUUAAUAAAGGCUAAAAACACAAAAAUGCCACUAGUAAUCGUUUCAGAUCUGGAUCUACAUAGCCAACGCCGUGACCUCCACUUUCGCGAUGUUGCGGCACUGACAAACGUCUUCUCCCCAAGAAUGGCUCCAACAUCGCAAUCUCAUCACAAGUACAUUGUGACUUAGCAACUCGAUGUUGCAACUUUGAGUCCUCUCUUGCGACAUGAUUAACUAUCGAGUCCUUCUCCUAUGUUCAUGUUGCAUGAUGUCAUGACCCUAGAAAGCUCAAUCUCACAACGUGAUUCACUAUUCAGCCACUUCAAUCAUUUAAAACUGAUUAAGCGUCAUUUGCUACUAAAACCCAAAAUGACAUGAGAACACUAGAUUAAGCACGAAAAUAAGAUAAAAUUUAAAUUCGACGCACAAAUUGUUAAGUACAUAGAAAGACUCGAAAACACACUAUAUGAAACAAUCAUAUUGACAAACAUCAAAUUGCCACUCCACAUAAGCCUAAAGGUUUAAUUAACCCUACAAGAGUCUUUGAAAAAGUUCACUCUAACACAAAGCCUAAAGGUUCCUUAAUAGCAUGCAUCAUAGCACUCAUAGACUAAGUAAGCCUUUUCUGGGCUUUGUUUAUCAUGUUAAGUUUCACAAUCGAAUAUGGGUUGCUGUUUCCUAAAAUAAUUAUUUGAACUUAAGCCUACUCAUUUGUCACAUUUUUUUUAAAGUUACUCCACCUUACUCUAUAGAAAAACUUUACCCUCUUUCCAAUAUUUUUUUCCUUGGACUGCUCCACCUCUAGACUAAGAUUCACACUAUCCACCACCUUGGCCAUUUUCCAUAUUUCUUCAUUAACUUAUCAUUGAACUCUCUAACUUUCUUUUAAGAUUCCUCAAGGGGUUUACCUUUUUUUUUUUCUUCGAGUCUUUUAGUACAAUUAUAUACUAUUUGCCUACAACUAAAUGUUGUAGCUAAAAGGGCCAUUGCAAGCAACAUUUGAAGGGAUCUACUAAUUUCACUCAAGUAGCAAUUUCUCAAUUUCAAUCACUUUCUUACCCACAUUAACUAAGAGUCCUUCAGUGUAAUAUGUCUAAAUUUUUUCGAUCUUGUAAAUCGCGUAAUUUUAAAAAAUAUAUAAAAAACUAAUAAAUUUCUAAGAAUGUGUAUCGAGUUAAUUGUAUGAUAUUGUUGGAAUAAAAUAGAUAUAAAAAAUUAAUAGUAAAGUUUAGCAUGAAAUGUUAAGAAUAGAGUAAGGACUAAAUUGCUAAGGAUUAAAAAAUUGAGGGACUAAAGGAUAAUUAUAGUAUUUAUAAAAAAAUUAUUAGACCAUGAUUACAGUAUAAAAAUUUGAUGAAGAUGUAGGACAAGUGGUCGAGUUUGAUUGGUUAUUGAGUUAAUCAUUUCAAAGGGAAAGGAAAUGGAAAUGGAAAGGAAAUUAGGCCUUUCCAUGGGACAAACGGUUAAGUAGAAAGGAAAAGAAAAAACAAAAAGUUUCCUAAGAAAAAUUCACAUUUCUCGAGUUUAGAUUCGAAUCUUAACUUCGUAUUUGAUCUUUUUAAAUUUUGAAAUAUUUUAUAUGAACUUAUUUAGCAUUAAUUUAUUAUAUUUAUACAUGUAAUUAGAAUUAUAUGAAAAUUAUUAUAAUUGAUUAUCGAAUUAUUUGAUAUCAUAAAAUGAAAUAAUCUACAUUACUCCAAUAAUAUAAUGUAAUGUUAAGUAUUCGAAUUUAAUGACUAAAUUUUAGUAAAUAAUGAAAAAUACAAAACAUUUGAGUAAAAUUAUAGAUUUAAAAACUGAGUUUAAAUAAAAGAUAAAGUCUAUUUUUUAAAUGGAUCGUGUUUCAUGUAUAUUUUUUCAGUUAGGCCCUAUCUUAAUCUAUUUAAAUUUUUUCUCUCCUAUUGUUAUUUUGUUGCUGUUUAGCUAUUAUUUUACUAUUAUAUUCUUAUUAUUUUAGAGACAUUUACUUACUAAAUUGUAACUGUUUUAAUGUUAUUUAAAUAUAAAAUUUUUCUUUAAUAUAUUUUUAAUCUGUUGAAAAACAUUUAUUUUAAUGUUUUUAGUGUAUUUAAUGUGGGUCGGACUCAAAUUUAGUAUUUUUUUAUCUGGGAUAAAAUUUUAAACUCAUUUUUUAAAAUUAAAUCAGACCCAAACUUAAAAAACAAACCUAAAAUUGUAUACUAUCCCAACCCAUUAUAAUGCCUAAUAAAAGAAAAUUACUAAGCAUCACAAACUAUGCCAACACAUUAUGUCCCUCUCGUUAGACUACCUCCCAAAUUAAGAGUUCACCCUGCUACAACACAUUGUAUGUAUCCUUUAUCAACACCUCUCUCUUCUAAGUUUAGCAUAUGAAUCAUGGCUAAAUCACAUCAAGAUUUGCCACUAGGGCUGUAUAGCAGGAUCACAAGUCCUUCAAUCUUAGCCAAUACACAUGCAGAUAGUUUAUCAUGAUUCAACCAUCAAUUUCCUUGGUAAAACAUCUAUUUAGGAGACUUGCAUCUGGCUACAUACUUCACCGUUGAACCACACCUCUUUUAGAACCUUUCAUUUCCUCUCCAAGCUCUUUAAAACCACCACAAGUGGCUUUAAAAUAGAGAUGGAGUCAAGGGGGAAGUCAAAAAAAUUUUGAGGAAAUCAGAAUUAAAUUGUAUAUUUUUACAAUAGUAAAAAUGUAAAUUCAUUAUCUUAAUAGUCUAUAUCUUUAUAACUUUUAAAGGAUUAAUUCAAAUUUUUAUUAUUUUUGGAAGAACCAAAAUGUAAUUUUAUUAUAAUCAUCUUUUUUUUUCCUUAUAAUACACUUCAGCAUACUCAAAUCCACGUCUUUCUUUAUUAUCAAUAAUGUCCAUAUUAAUCCAAUCGGGACUAAUCCUCGAUAAAAAUCAAAAUUUUAAAUUUUUAAAUGUUGGAGGGAAGGUUUUAAAUUUUGUCCUUGAUCCAAUAUUGAUGAAGAUGAAAUGGAUGGGGAUGACUUAAUAAAUGUGUGUUUCAACCUCAUUCAUGAAUAAGAAUCAUAGCCACAAACUUUUUUCAAAGCAUUGAAUGCAAACCCAUCGAAUGUGGUGUUCAUGAUUCAUCCAUGCAGCGCUUUAGACGGUGACAAGUCUUAUUUUAAUAUAAUUGUAAUAACUAAAUUUAUUUUUAUUGAUUAAGAAUUUUAACUAAAAAUAUUUUUUAAAAAUUAAAUUAAAUGAUAAAUGAUUGUGUGAAGUACAUCUUGUUUAAGGUUAAAUUGUAGUUACAAUACUUCUAUUAUGUUUAAAUUUUAGAGUAUAUAUACUUUAAUUUGACAUGAUUCGGUUCCUCUAAUUAGUGGCGAAGCUAAGGUCUGGCAGCCUCAAAUGAAAAAUUUUCCAUUUAAGCUCAUUUUUAAUUUAUAAAUUAGUAAUAGUAAAAUUAUACUUUGACUCUCUAAUUGAUAAAAAUUUAAUUUAAUCCUUUAAAAAUUAUAAAGAUAUAAGGUAUUAAAAUAGUGAAAUUAAAUUUUUACUAUACAAUUUAAUUCCGCCCCUACCUCUACUUUUAUAACAUCAUUAGUUAGGCCAAUAGUUGACACCCUUAAUUAUUUCGGUAUGCUUAAGCUAGACUUUUUCUUAAAAAUAUUACAACUUAUCAUGUCAAGUGUGUGUGUUAGAAAUGUGAUUUAAAUCAAAUUUUGCAUUAGCAUGUCAAUUAAAAUGGUUAGGGAUGUUAACUGUUUGGACUAACUAGUGUCAUUGUAAAAGUAGAAGACCAAAUUAUGUCAAAUUAAGACAUAAAAGACUAAAUCCCAAAUGUGAGCAUAAUAAGAUAUCAAAAUUAUAAUCUAUCCAUUAUCUUAUAAUGACCAAAAGAAAGGGAAAAAAAAGAUGGGUAUGUUCAUGAAGAGGUAAAAGUACUAUAGCAAUCAUUGUACUAUACCCCGGUUUGCAUUUUAUUUCUACUGAAAAUUUGGCAAAUUAGUCCUUAUAUGUAAAACAUCAAAAUAACCAUUUAUCGAUAAAAUUUUAAUAGAGAGACUAUUUUACUCAUUCAUCUAAUGUAUAAGAACCAAUUUGUCCAUUUUUUAGUAGAGUGAUCAAACCCAAUAUGAAGUACAGUACAAGGACUGCUAUGAUACUUCUACCGUCAUGAAUCUCUUUUAUAAUGAUCAAUCUAUACUAUUAUUUAAAGCUUCGACUUAACUAAGUUGAUGUCACCCUCAAUUGGUUUCCAACUCAAUUAUGAAAUUAAUAAAAACUCGAUAUUUUUAUAAAGCAACAAAUAAUUUAAGAGUAUUUUGUCUUUUUAGAUAGAGAUAAAUCUCAAAACUAUAUAUAAAGUAUGGUUUAAUGUGCAAUUGUAUACAUUAAAUUUUGAUUUGAUCCAGUUCUUGUAAAUUAUUAAUACAAUUAUUGAUAUAAACAUAAUUUUAUGUUUAUAUAUAGCAUACGUAAAUAAUUAUAUUUAUCCAAUAUAAAAAUAAAUUGAUGUGUUUAUUUCUUUAAAUGUAUAUGAUUAAAUUAAAAUUAAAGUUUCAAAUAUACAUUUGAACUACAAUUAGACUUUCACGUGUAUAAUUAUAUCAAAUUAAAAUUUAUGUAUAUAAUUACACAUUAAAUCAAAGUUCAUGUAUAAUUUUAAAAUUUAUCCCUUUUAAACACAAUUUAGAAAAACACAUUCACAUGACAGAAUUUAAACUAAAAACCUCAAAAUCUUUCUUACUCCAGUUUUACCAUUUCAACAAAAGUUAUAAUUAAUUUUCAUAUAAAUUAUUUCUAUAAAUUUCCUAUAUAAUUUCUUUUACCCACGUCGUGAAUUUCGCAUAAUAUAAUAUACAUGGUAGGUACCUUUUAUGACAUUUAUUAGCAAUCUUUUUUUUUUUAUUUGUCAAGGUUAGAGGCGAGUAUUUAAUCGAGUUAAGUCGAAUCAAAUCGAGUAAAAAAAUUUUGAGUUAAUCGAGUUCUCGAGUCCUAUUUUAUCAUCCUAACUCAAUUUGAAUUUAUUUUUGAAUCAAGUCAAGUGAAAUGAAAUUCGAAUCGAAUCAUGUGAAAUUAUUCGAGUUAAAUUAAAAAAUUUAAACAUGUCAAAAAAUAUAUUAUUACAGUAUAAAUAAUUCCAUGUUAGAGCACAUAAAUUUGAAAUCAUAUAUAUUUAAUUUUUUUUCAACAAAUAAAUUUGAAUCAUUAAUUAGAUCCCAAAAUUAUUAUUUUAGAAAAUUUUUAAAAUUUUAGCUUUUUUAUUUUUUUAGAAAAUUUUAAAAUUUUUAAAUAUAAAUUUUGACAUUUUUAUAAAUAUUUUAAAAUUUAAAAAUUAUUGUAAUUUUUAAAAAAUAUUUUGAAUUUUUUUUUGUUGAGCCAAUUUGCUUAUUUUCGAAGUUGGUAGGGACAAAAAGGGUAUUUGAAUUUUAAAAUUCGAAUAACUCAAAUAAUUUGCAUAACUGAAUAAUUCGAUUCGGUUAACUCGAAAUUCAAAAUUAUUUUCAAUUUUUUCGAAUCGAAUCGAGUUUUGCUCACCCCUACUCAAGGUAUUUAUUAAAGGGAACCCAGUAACUAAUCUUCAACAUUAUGUAGACCCAUUAAGGUUUAAAUGGUGACCACGAGUUUUAAAGCUGCUUCAUACCCAAUGUGAGGACCGAACUCUCAAUCACUGGUUAAAGUAGCAGAAACCCUUGCCAUCCAACCUAACUCUCGUGAUUGUUUAUUAGCAAUCCAUAAAUCUUAAAAUCAAAAUAAUAAUAAUAAACCCACUAAACCCUUUAAUUUAUCACAUAAAUUAUCAAUUAUUCAUUUAUUAAGUUUUAAUUUUCCAUUUAUAUAUUGAAGAAAUUAUAAUUACUCAUAUCUAAUUAUACUUUGAUACACUUAAUCUUACGCAAUUACUUUAUAAAGACAAAACCCUGAAUAGCAUUGAUUACUUAAAAUGCUAAAAUAAGGUGCACAUUUUUAAAGAUCAAAAGCGACAUAAAACUACCACAUUAAUGCAAACCAUGGACGUGGCCUUCAUAUCAGCCAAUACAUACAAUUUAUUAAGUUUUAAUUUUUCAUUUAUCACAUAUAUAUCUCUGCAGCUUGAUUGUCUUGUUAGCUAUAAACUUAACCUGUUAAUUAAACUUUAAUUCAUUUUUUUUUAAUUCCAUCAUUACUACCAUUAGAUAUAAUUUCAUAUUUGCUUUUUCUUGAUUGCUUUAGGAGAGUUGUAAUAUGGAUUUUUUUGUAGGAAAACAAUUGAAGUCAUUCAAGAAGACAUAAACAGCUGCAACUGUGUAAGAGUUUAACAUUGAGAAUAGAUCCUUACACGUUAUUGAAAUACCAUACUAAAGAUAAAGACAUAUAGCUAAACAUUAGACACGCCAUAAAUAUAUAUAUAUAUGAAAAUACAACAGAAAUGCUUGAAAAUACAACAGAAAUGCUUGAACAUCAUUUGCUCUGCCUAGAUCCUUCUUCCCCCAUUGCUGCGAUUCCCUGUCAUUGGCUUUCUUCUCCGCCUCUUCUCAAUAUGAUCUUCAACCAAACUCACAAUCCACUUUGGCUUACCAGUUUGGAAAACAACAUAUCCCACGCCCAAUCCUAACACCACUCCACAUCCAUAACCCAACAACACUACUUUCCACCCAAAAUCAAUGUUUGAUUUUAAUCCACCUUCUUCUGAUAAGUUUGAAGGUGGUGGUUGCUCAUUAUUGUUGCAAUCACUUGACAAUGGAAAACCAUGUAAUCCUUUGUUCCCUUCAUAGGAAGUAUUUCCAAAGGUAUUGAAUUGUUUUCCUUGAGGGAUGCACCCAACCAAUUCAUUCAUUGAAAGGUUUAACAUAGAAAGAGCCGCUAAAUUUAGCAGUUCUCUUGGAAUCCAUCCAACCAGUUUGUUUGAAGAGAGGUCUAGCCAUUCAAGGUUGGUCAAACUCCCUAUUGAUGUGGGAAUGUAACCAUUAAGGUUAUUAUGAGAAAGGUUUAGCCCUUUGAGUGAUCCAAGCUUUCCAAUAACCUUGGGAAUCUCUCCAUCGAACUUAUUAUUUGAGAGAUCAAUGAUUGCCCACAUGACGAAAAUUUUAUUCAAUGCUAUAUCUUGUCCUUUCAUCACAAUUCCAAUGGAAUAGCUAUAAAAGCCACCACUACCAUUAACAUCUUGCACACCCAUGUAUGUCAUCGUACUUGCAUCCUUAGUGAGAUUUAUGAUAGCCUUGAAGCUGUUGAUGUAUCUCCCAGGUAGGGGUCCAGAAAAAUAAUUACUUGAAAGGUCAAAAAUUUGGAUUUUAGAGAAACAAGGGCUAGACUUGGAGCUAUGGUCAUGCAAGGAACCAUGCAUUUGAUUUGACUUUAGUACAAGAACUUGUAGCCGUGGAAGACUUCCCAACCAAUGAGGAAAUGUAUCAUUGAUCUUGUUGUUCCCAAGAUCUAGCACUUCCAAAGACCUACAAUUGAGGAUGGAUGGUGACAAAGGCCCUUCAAAUUGAUUUCCAUUUAAGUUGAGAUAACUCAAUUGACAUCCCUUUGCAAAUGUUGGAAGAAUCAUUCCAUAAAACUUGUUCUUCUUUAGAUUCAAAAAUUCAAGGGUGUUGCUCAAAUUUCCAAAACAUUGUGGAAUAGUUCCAAUCAAUUUAUUGUGGGACAAGUCAAGAACUUGGAGAGCACUCACAUUGCAUAUCAAAGAAGAGAUCUCUCCACCUAAACUAUUGUUUGAGAUCAAGAACACAUUGAUUGUCGAAGAUGGAAUUGGAAGAUUUCCAUGGAUCAAAUUGGAGCUUAAGUCAAGAAUAUUAAUAUUCUUCCAUGGCAGUUGCUCAACUUCUGUCAAUGAGUUGUGAGAUAAAUUUAAGUAACUCAAAGAGUCACAAGUCACCUUUUGCAGCCAUUGUGGAAUCUUUCCUUCAAUUCUAUUGUUAGAAAGGUCUAAAGCUUUCAACUUUUUUGACCCUUUCAAAAAUGGGGGGAAUUGGCUGACAUUAUUUGAGCUUAAGGAUAGGCUGUUUUGUGAAAGGUCAAGAUAUUCAAGAUUUGGGAGAUUUGAGAACAUGCUAAACUCUAUAACACCACUGAGAUUAUUUGAGUAUAAAAGGAGCCAGGUAAGAUUGAGAGAUUGGAAUAUUGAAGAUGGAAGAGGACCUUGGAGUUUAUUAUUCCCUAACACUAUCAUUUCUAGUGAUUUGGAUUGGAAUUCUUUGAUGUGUCCACUGAAUUGAUUUUGAGAGAGAUAUAUUUCCAUUAAGGAGGAAGCAGUAUACAACCAUGACGGAAGUUUUCCAUUUAGUAAAUUGUUAGAUAAGUCUAAAGAUAUUAGAUUAGGGAAAGCAGCUACCUCAUCUGGAAUGGGACCUUCUAAAGAAUUUUCAGCUAUUCUCAAGUGUUGAAGCUGUGUCAGGUUUAGAAUUGACAAUGGAACUUGUCCACUCAAUUGGUUCCAGGACAAGUCUAAAUAAGUGAGUUGCAAGAGGUUCCCCAAUGAUCUCGAAAUUGAUCCCCGUAAAUUGGAAUGAGACAGAUCCAAAUAUUUCAAGGCAUGUAGGUUAUCAAUCGAAUCAAUCAAUUUUGUAAAGGACAUCCAUGACAGAUCCAAAUGUUCAAGAUUACUGCUCUGAUUGAACUUCAGAAGAUCAAGACUAAGGUUUCGGUUGUAUCCUAAGUUGAGCAAAUUGAGAUUUGGCGAAUGAAGAAUGUUACUUGGGAAUUUUCCUUGCAAAUCACAACCACCAAGACUGAGAGACUUUAUAGAAGAGGAUAGAUUCAUGAAAACAUUAGGAUUAAUAGAAGGCAUGAUAAUUCUAUCAAGAAAAAGAUGUCUCACCUCAGUUAGGUUGUGAACAAGUCCCUCCAAAAUAUUUUUGUCAAGUGUUAAUUGGUCAAAAAACACAUUAUGAGAGAGAUCAAGUGAAACCAAUUUUGACAAGUGGGAGAUUUGGGAUGGGACUUUUCCUGCAAAUAACGUUUCUGAGAUGUUAAGAUACACCAGCCUUGUAAACUGACCAAACUCAAAGGGCAUCUUGGAAUAAUUAAAAUCAUUGUAGGCAAGGUUGAGUUUUUGAAUAUGAGGAAGAAGGAAAAGAGUACUAUUGGAAGGGAAGUUGCCAUACAACCAACUGCAACUCAAGUCAAGGGCAAUGACAUGAGCAUUUAGGUGAUCACAAGUGACCCCAUCCCAUGAGCAGCAAUCUGUACCCUCUUUCCAUGAAUUUGUCUUAGGAUAAGAUUUAAGGCCAGCAAUAUCAUCACAAAGAAGAGAAGUAAACUCUGUUUUGAUGAUGGAAAAUGAGUUCUUGAAAUGGAUCAAUGCAGUAGCUUCGUGAUGAGAGCACAAGUGUGUUACUGAAGAGGCAGAAAGAUGAGGGAAGAAGAAAAAUAGGUAAAGGAAGUGAUAGGAUGUGAUUAAGGAGGCCAUGUUAUGUUUUCAAAUAAGGUUAACAUGGUAUGAAUUAUGAGAACCCUAUUUAUAGGUAGAACAAAACCGAUAGAAACUAAGAAUUUUAAUGGUAUAGUCCAUUGAUAAUGAAGAUUCUAAGAAAUUUUAUGGAAAUUGUGGGUAACCAUCAUGUUUUUAUUUCUGAUGGAGAAAAGCUAAAAGUGUGAAGAAGACCAAAACUGUCAAUGUCACCCAAACCUAAUCUACAAGUCGCCACAAUGUCAGUAAUUCCCCCCACACACAAAAAGACAUAAUUUUGUCCCCACAUAUCCAAAGCAGGAAAAGAAGUUCAAAGUUUCAGAGUAAAUAACACUUGAAUGAUUGUAUUAUAGAAAACACGUCAAUGAUAUACAAUCCCUUAUCACUUGUCUUCUAUAUAUUCAAAGUUUACUGCUUGAAAAUUCAAACCAUGUGUAUCCUAUAUAUGCUGAACAGUGGUAUCUAACAAACAUAUUUUCCACAAGACUAGAAAAUGUGUAUGCCAUUUUCUAUUACUUGCAAGAAAACUACCAGUGAAAUUGCAUUUCUAAUUCAUCCAUAGGCUUUAAAUUCAAACAAUAAAAACGAAAAAGAACAGGAAACUUCUAAGAAAGAAAUUUUAUUACAUCAAUUUUCCAGUUAAGAUUAAAUUUGAAAAAAAAAAAAAAGGGCAUGUCCAUUUUUAUUUUUUAAAAGUAAAGGAUUAUAACUCAGCCAAAUAAAAAAGUCAGAAUGCAAAGCACACAAUCAACAAGCAGAAAAACCAACAACAUUGAAAACAAAAGGCAAUAACAGAUCAUGCACCGCACCAGGCCCAGAAAACCAAAUUGCAUCAUUGUAGUGUCAUUUAUAUUAUCAAGUCAUGAUAUCCAUAUUACUUUCCCACUAAUUAAUUCAGUUCAAUAUGCAUAAUUUGAAUUAAUGGCCUAAAUUUUAAACUUUGAAGAAACAUAAGGCAACUGAAUGAAAAUUAAUAACCUCCAUCACCAGAGCUGCCCGCGCUUGUCUUCGUACAUGUCCUCCAAGUAAGCAAGAUAAUUAUUUUCUCCUUUAGAGAUCAUGAAGAUCAAAAAUUGAACCUAAACAUCAGGAAAAUAUGUCAGUGGACAUUACAGUCAGAAAAAACAGAUGAUAAAGUACAGCAUCCAAAACCCAUGCCAUCAUUCUUUUUCUUAGAUGUCAAUGCUUACUGCUACUGAGGUCCCAUUGAGGCAAAAUGCUGGGAAAUGUUUGAGCCUUUUACCACAUGUUCAUGCAGUGCCUGCUCACGCAAUAUCUGAACUUUGUUCAGUCAAGUUCCUCAAAAGAUAGCCCUGUAAUAUGCAACAUAGGAAUCAGUGUCAGAAAAGGCCAAGGAAAGAGUAAGGAACUGAACUAGUAGAAAAUCAAAAUAGUAUACCAUAUUAUCCAGUGCUUGGGCUUUCCAAGCACUAAUCUCAAUCAUUUCACAAUCAGGAAGCGCAAAGCUAGCAGCGUGUCAUGUUUCGGUGACUCUGUCACAGAAAGUUCUAUAAGAAAAUGUAAAUUUCAGAGAUGUUUGACAUGGUGUUUACUUUCCAAGGAAACAUGAAUUCCAAAGAUCAACUACUCUGCCAAGUUUGUUGCUUCAAUCAAAAAUGGUAAGAACAACAAGACCAGUCAACAAUAAUCGAUAAUAACAUUUUCUAUAACACUAAAAAUGACUUGUAGGGAUUAUAAAUUUGAGGGGGAAAUGGAUGAACAAUGAGAUCAAGUUACAACGUACAAGCAUGUGAUAACUAGCAGACAUAACUCAUACAAGACCUAGAUGUAUUAUUGAACUCUUAUAUAAAAGACAACUGAAGAUGCAAAGCUUAAUUUUUAAGCUUUUCUGACGCUUGAUAAGCAUAGUUUUAGUUCAGUUCCUAAGUCUAAACUGCUUUGCUAUGGUAUUAUUUUUGUAAGUACAUUGAGACCGAUGCAUGCUAUUGCGAUUUAUCAUCUUUGAAGCCAAGAAAAUGACAGAAUUCAAAGACCAAAGGUUCGAUUACAUACUAGAUCGGUCUCCCUGAAACUACUGCUUUGAGAGCAUGGAUGUAAGCCAAUCAACAACCUCUCCUCAACCUCGAUUUGAAACCAGCAUGAAUUGAAUUCUCAGCACCAUAUACCCUCACAAACUCCUCUGCAACAACAUAAGACAUAUGCCUAACACUCCUCUGAGAACUGAUAACUGCACAGACAGAUUCACCGAUGGAAUCCUUAAAGAAAUAUUGAACCAUAUGAUUACCGCGCUCCUGUGAAAUAAACUCCUCCAUCCACUCGAAACAAUGACCAUUUCCAGACAUUUUGAUAUACAAUACGCAAUCUGCUUCACUACUUGUUCACAUAGCUAAAAGAUGUCCGAUGAAACUGGCAAGGGGUUCUUCUAAAAUCGUACAUUAGCUGCCAAAAAGACAACCACCAUACAUUCAUUCAUUCAGUAAACAGCUUCAAUAUGGACAUAAGCUAUUAUCUUAAAAAUGCUCUUUCUACCACAGAAGAAUAAGAACUAGGCAUCUCAGAAAACUUGCUAAAUUAAUGACUUUGCCCACUUCAAAAUGAACAAAUGAUUAACUGCAUUAACCCCAAAGAGGUCACCAUCAAUCUCCAGUUGAACUUUCAAGGAAUAAUAAUAAACAAAAGAAGGAAAUUAGGAAAAAGAAAAACUAACCAGAACUCAGUAAAAGCUGAUCCGUGAAGAUCUGCAGUUAGUAAAAGAUAAACCUCAUGACUAAAGUCCAAGCUUGAAAGAACCAAAAGGGAGCAAAUAUGGCUAUGACUCACUAAACCAAGAGAAUCACCAAUUAAUAAAGGAAAAUGAGUACUUUCCUUUAAACCUAAACAGACAAUAUUUAGCCUCAAAACAAGAUCCUCUUUGGGAAAAAUUCAGGUUUUCACAAAAGGUGAAAGUUAAAGAAUUUGUCUUUGUUUUGAUGUGUGGAACACGAGAUAGUGAAGGAAAAUAAAGGUGAGGAAAUAAGAUGGAGUAAGUGGUGCAAAAAGGAGAGCCUAAAAGAGACAUUUUUGAAGGGUAGUUUAGAAGUUGCAGAGGCUUUGGCAUACAGCAGCUGAUAAUGAGAGAAGACAAACCAGAAAUGUAAGUAAGACGACCACAAAAAUAAAGUUGAAAAAUUUUUAAGAAUUGAUGAAAUAACAUUUUGUAGCUUAGCAAAUUGGGACGAAGUCCACCAGUCCGACGCCCAUAGAACCAUACCUGGGAUUUUCCAUUUGGGAUAACUUUCUAACUUCUCCCACUUAUUCCUUGAAGUUUUUUUUUUUGCAUUAGUCUUGAAACAUUGCAGAUUUUUUCAAUUACAUUGCAAAUUUUUUCAAUUUUUGAAUUCCAUUAAACUUUGAGAUUGGAAAAAAAAAAGAUUAAUUUUUUUAAAAUAAAAAAAAAAUAAAGAAACUAAAUUUCAAGCAUGCAAAGUACAAAUGAAACAACUGUUAUUAUAAAAGAUGCGUUGAUUCACUCAGAUUGGAGUACCCUUAGACAAGCUUAUUCUUGUAGAGAAAGAAACUGAAUUUUGAUUUCAUUUGCUGCGGCAAUAAUUUUUAGUUUCAACAUAAUAUUGAAAGCCUGCCUACAUCUCGGCAGAAAAAAAUUACAAUUCUUUCAUCAGACAAUUUAAAUGAUGCAAUGCAAAGAGUCAUCAAUGUAUGAUCUUUUCAUCAUAAAAUAGCCUUUUUACUGGAAAACUUGAUACGUAGUGUCUUUCACAUUCUUCUAUGCCAAAUGAUCUCCGUAAACUGCAAUCAUCGACUAUACGUAACCCUUUUGUCAGCGCCGCCAGAGCCGACCUUGUUGUUUCUGUUCUUGAACUCGCCUGUGUCAUCAAAGGCAAUGAGCAUUUAUCAAUGUUAUAAAAACAAUACACAAAUGUAUGAAGAUACUUCACCUUUGAUACUUUUUAGAACGCUCGAGAAACUCUUUUGCGAUAUCUUUUCUUUCAUAGGAUUGCAAUACUUGUCUGAUAUCAGCCGGACUAUUGCGGGCUACAUCUGUGGACAAAUCAAAACAAAUGGUACUAUAAUCAACAAACGAAUAUGGGAAACAUAAAAUUUGAACAAAGGCAACAUGCAGAGGAAAAAGCAACAACAUAGACUUACAUUCAAGAAAUGGAAUAAGGUCUAAAAGUGCGGUAUAAUCUGUCUCGAGCUUAUAUGGCUUAAUAGGGACACAAUUUUCUGGUUGAAGGCUAGAAUCAAAUGCAUGAGCACUCACAUAUAAAAUCUUGGCUGGAUCCCUGUUUAGCUUUGAAAGAUCCUGCCAACAGGAACUAUUUGUUAACAAUAGGGCCAUAGAUUAAUACACAUAGUAUUGUAGAAACUAAGGAGGCAAAAACCAAAAACAAAAUGUUUUGAAGGGAAGAGAUUGACUAUAACAUGGUAAAAGUAUCAUGGAAACUCAUAUAUUAGAAGUCAGAUUGCAUUUUGCCCCCUUUACUCAAAGCCUAGACAAAUUAGUACCUAUAUAUUAGAUUAAAGAGCAAACUAGUCCUUUCUGUUAAAAAUUUCAUUCAUUGCUACUGUUAUUGGUGUAGUUAAUAGAAUAACUAGACAGUUGCGCGUGAUAUGUCACAUGUACCUCAUGCUAGUAUACAAGGACAAAUUUUUAAUUGUAGAAAUGGAUAGAAUUUGUAAUAGAAAGACCAAUUUGCUUUUUAAUCUAAUGUACAGGGACUAAUUUGCCAUUUUUUUAGUAGAGGAGGCAAAAUGCAAUUUGACUCCUAGUAUAAAGGCCUCCAUGGUACUUUUACCACUAUAACAUACUCUAUAAUGCUUGCCAUCCUGAUAUUUAGUAGCACCCCUUGAUAGCCUAUAUCGUAUACAAUGGUCAGUGUCCAACCUUUCACAAACAGGAUCAACAUACUGCACGGUCGAAAACAAACUAAUCAUGAACUUGCAGGCAACAUCAGUUAUCAUAUACUUGUGUAUUUAAAAUGGUAGCCACAAUGAAAAAUAUCAAAUUACCAUAUUCAUCUGGUCAGAAUAGACGACAAUUUCAUAGAAUUUUGCUAGAUGUUCUAGAAAGGCAUCAACUCCAGGUCUUUUGAAGGUACGCCAGCCUCUCUCUCGCUUUGCCAACCAAAAAGGGAAGGUUUUAGAUUUCAUAAAGGUGAAAUGGAAAAUAAUUUUAAGUCAAAUUCUUACCUUCCAGUCUGUAUAAAGUAAUGUCUCGUUCAGAUCUAGGACAAGAGCAAAAACAUGCUGUUCUAGAGGAUGCAAAUCAGGAAGAAGCUGAUCUGAAGUUGGUUCAGUAUAUUCCUGAAAAUACGAGAUAGAAUUAUAAGAACAAAGCAAAAGAUAGGCUGUCAAUAAUAGAAAACCGGAAACAAGAGAAAGAAGAAUGCUUCUCACCAGCAAAUGCUCUUCCACUAACCUCCUGAGAUCCAAAUAAGAUUCAAGUGCUUUAGCCGGAACUGAAAUGUUACAAGCAAAGAAACCAGGAAUAAAUUGGGGUUGAACCAGAACAUGUAAACAAAUAAAUAAUUGACCAACAUAAUAGACAGCAAUCAGCACCAAUGGAAUUUUCUUUUCUGUCUCAAUGAAUCCAUUUACAAUAAAGCAGCCCAAAUUUUCUAAAGGAAUAUUUUGGUAAAAAUACCAUGGAGGCCCUUGUACUAAGAGCUGAAUUGAAUUUUGACCCCUCUACUCAAAUAAUUGACAAAUUAGCACCUAUAUGUUAGAUCAAAAAGUAAAUUGGUCCAUCUAUUAAAAACUGUUCAGUUAUUCUGUCAACCAUCCCAGUUUUUAACAGUAGAAAAUGAAUAAAAUUUUUAAAAGAAAGGACCAUUUUGCUUUUUGAUCUAAUGUACAAAGACUAAUUUGUCCAUUUUUUAGUAGAGGGAAUAAAAUGCAAUCUGACACCUAGUACAGGGGCCUCCAUGGUAUUUUUACCGGAAUAUCUCCAGGCACUAGACAAUGCAAACCAAAUGCCCUGUUAUGCAAAUAUUGUGCUAAUAAUUAGGUUGACAUACUGAACAAAGACUUUAGAGAUAAUUGUAACCAUGAACAAACAAAGAAGCAAUAAGAGAUAGAGAAACACAAUAAGGUCAUCACCUGUCAUUGCAGCAGAGUAGAGCAAGCCUCCAUAUUUCUGAAAAAUAUAUGAAAAAAAAAAAAGAAUCAUUACUUUCAUAUCUAAUUUCUUCAUAGUAUUAGGACAAACUAAACAAUGGAUAUAUCACAUUAUUAAGACUUAGCUAAGGUACCGCAGAUAUACAUUCAAAUGAUCAAUCAUAAAGGAUGAACUAGGAGGCCCAAUGAUCAAUCAGAAUUACACCUAAACAACUAAAAUAAAUAGGGAAAAUCCUUUAAAAAAUCAAUUUAUAAACAAAAUCAAACUCACAUCAAUAGCAGAAGCAUCUUCACUAGGAGUAUAACUCGCUGCAGCCCGCAAUGCCUUUGCUUUAUGAUCUACUCCUCACAUGAACACUCUGCAAAUCAUAUUAAAUUCUUUUUUUUUUAAACCACUUUUAAUCAUAUAAAAAAAACCCAAAAUCACAAAUGAUCCGAUCUUUUAAAAAGGGGAAAAAGAAACUUACUAUAAGAGAGAUAACCAGCAUAGCCAGUAGUUCCAGUAACACCUGCAAUGAGUCCGUACUUGACAAAGCUCCAAAUUUUCCCUCCCGAACCCUGUGGGGAAACUUCCGGCGCCGGAGGAGGAGGUGUCGACUGAUCGGAGAGAAUGGAUUGUGAAGAAAUUAUUGUUCCUUUAGAAGGAUCCGAAGAAGAAGAAACCACUCCUGAACAUAAACCCCUUUGAGAAAUAAUCUUUGAACUGAAAUUAUUUGAAAUUGUUCGAGAUCUAAG
rnacentral:lncRNA from 1 species